AGUGAACUUCGUUUGUAGCGGCAUCCUUUUUCUGUCCGCCGCGGCGGACAGAAAAAGAUACAGCGAAUAGCAGGAAAUAGC
rnacentral:sRNA from 1 species